rnacentral:rRNA from 1 species
AUGGACCAUUCCAUCCCUUUUUCCCGUGCAUAUGCAUCGGACUCGGAUGACGAUGGUCCCGACGAACAAGUUGAUGCGGAGGGGUUCACGGUGAAGGAGGCCGAAGCUUUCGAGAAGGUAUUCGGUCGUGAUCAUCGGACUAUAUUGUUCAAGGAUGCUAGUCUAGCAGAUGAAGCCGUUGUAGAUGGUGGCCAAUGUAUAUCUGUUGGGGUUAGGCCAAGCUCUCAC